GAUGAACGCUAGCGGCAGGCUUAAUACAUGCAAGUCGUGGGGCAGCAGGUUUGUAGCAAUACAGAUGCUGGCGACCGGCAAACGGGUGCGGAACACGUACAGAACCUUCCUUUGAGCGGGGAAUAGCCCAGAGAAAUUUGGAUUAAUACCCCAUAGUAUAAUGAAGUGGCAUCACUUUAUUAUUAAAGAUUUAUCACUCGAAGAUGGCUGUGCGGCUGAUUAGGUAGUUGGCGGGGUAAAGGCCCACCAAGCCUGCGAUCAGUGACUGGUGUGAGAGCACGACCAGUCACACGGGCACUGAGACACGGGCCCGACUCCUACGGGAGGCAGCAGUAAGGAAUAUUGGUCAAUGGAGGCAACUCUGAACCAGCCAUGCCGCGUGGAGGAUGAAGGUCCUCUGGAUUGUAAACUUCUUUAUAUGGGACGAAAAAGGCUUUUCUAAGUCGUCUGACGGUACCAUAUGAAUAAGCACCGGCUAACUCCGUGCCAGCAG
rnacentral:rRNA from 1 species